AAGAGCCUGAGUGUCUUCCCUGCAAAGGCUUUGACUCAACACCAGCUCAGAUUCUGCUGCUGGAGACAGAAUCUCACCUAGAGAUUGGUUUGCCAUGGCUCUUUGAAACAGUUACUCUUGUCCUCAUUGUAGAGAUGGCGAUACUAAGGCAGAAUAUGGCUAGCCUGGACUUCUUUUUGUGGAGACUGGAUUCCAAGAUUGAAAGUAGAAGCUACAUGUUUUCUCCAAGCAGGGCUUUCAGACUUCACUUCUGCAACAUUUUAUUGAUGAAAGCAAGUCACAAGACCAGACUGAUUCAAGGGGUGGAGAAAUAGACCCUACUUCUUGAUGGAGGGAGGAGUAGAGUUACAUUGCAAAGGGAUCUGGACAAAAAAAGGAGUGAUUUAUUAGGAAUCAUGUUUAACAAUUUACCACAAUCCCCAGCGCAACUGCCUGUUAGCUGGAUCCAGAAAUGUCUACGACUACUGCAAUGCCACUUGGCCUUAGGGGUGAUGUGACCCAGUGUAAAGAGAUGGUGGUCUUAACCAAUCACAGUUAAGAUAGUUUAGUUUUGGAAGGUAUAAAAAAUAUGUAACAACAUGAAUGCACUUUUAGGGUCAGACAAGAGACUUGGAAAGAGCCUGCAAAAUGGAGGAGCCCUGAGGCCUAAGUCUCAUGAGUGUCAAUGCUUACCUGUAUCUAGACACUGGCAUCCCCCUUUUGAUAAGGCCAAGAUUGAUUGUUUUCCUUUUCUACCUACCCUAUAUCUAAUCCAUGUACAAACACUGUUGACACACAAAAGAACCCUAAAUUCAACAAUCUGUGAAGAAUUUUUGCACUAACAUGUUAGUUCAAAAACUCAACAUUGCUUGCUAAGACUAUUGCAAUAAACUCCUCUAUGAUCCCCUAAUUUGAUUCUUGCUCCUCUUAUUUUUUACACAGUCAUCAGAGUAAAUCUUUUCAAAGGUAAAUUGGAUUUUAUGACUUUU
rnacentral:lncRNA from 10 species